rnacentral:siRNA from 1 species
GACAAAUCAGAUUCUUACUUUUGC